rnacentral:rRNA from 1 species
GCGGCACGCUUCAUACAUGCAAGUCGAGGGGCAGCAUAAAGUACUUGUACUUUGAUGGCGACCGGCGAACGGGUGCGUAACGCGUAUGCAACUUACCUUUUACUAGAGAAUAGCCAAGAGAAAUUUUGAUUAAUGCUCUAUACUCUUUUUAACUCACAUGAGUUUUUAAGAAAAGCUCCGGCGGUAAAAGAUGGGCAUGCGUCCUAUUAGCUUGUAGGUGAGGUAACGGCUCACCUAAGCUCCGAUAGGUAGGGGUCCUGAGAGGGAGAUCCCCCACACUGGUACUGAGACACGGACCAGACUUCUACGGAAGGCAGCAGUAAGGAAUAUUGGACAAUGGAGGAAACUCUGAUCCAGCGAUGCCGCGUGAAGGAAGACGGCCCUAUGGGUUGUAAACUUCUUUUAUACAGGAAGAAACCUUUCCACGUGUGGAAAGCUGACGGUACUGUAAGAAUAAGGAUCGGCUAACUCCGUGCCAGCAGCCGCGGUAAUACGGAGGAUCCAAGCGUUAUCCGGAAUUAUUGGGUUUAAAGGGUCCGCAGGCUGUUUGUUAAGUCAGGGGUGAAAUCCUACCGCUCAACGGUAGAACUGCCUUUGAUACUGGCAAACUUGAGUUAUUGUGAAGUAGUUAGAAUGUGUAGUGUAGCGGUGAAAUGCAUAGAUAUUACACAGAAUACCAAUUGCGAAGGCAGAUUACUAACAAUUAACUGACGCUGAGGGACGAAAGCGUGGGUAGCGAACAGGAUUAGAUACCCUGGUAGUCCACGCCGUAAACGAUGGUCACUAGCUGUUCGAUGUACAUUGGUACAUUGAGUGGCUAAGCGAAAGUGAUAAGUGACCCACCUGGGGAGUACGCUCGCAA